GAUGAACGCUGGCGGCGUGCCUAAUACAUGCAAGUCGAACGCGAGCACUUGUGCUCGAGUGGCGAACGGGUGAGUAAUACAUAAGUAACCUGCCCUAGACAGGGGGAUAACUAUUGGAAACGAUAGCUAAGACCGCAUAGGUACGGACACUGCAUGGUGACCGUAUUAAAAGUGCCUCAAAGCACUGGUAGAGGAUGGACUUAUGGCGCAUUAGCUGGUUGGCGGGGUAACGGCCCACCAAGGCGACGAUGCGUAGCCGACCUGAGAGGGUGACCGGCCACACUGGGACUGAGACACGGCCCAGACUCCUACGGGAGGCAGCAGUAGGGAAUUUUCGGCAAUGGGGGAAACCCUGACCGAGCAACGCCGCGUGAAGGAAGAAGGUUUUCGGAUUGUAAACUUCUGUUAUAAAGGAAGAACGGCGGCUACAGGAAAUGGUAGCCGAGUGACGGUACUUUAUUAGAAAGCCACGGCUAACCACGUGCCAGCAGCCGCGGUAAAAC
rnacentral:rRNA from 1 species